UCUAAUGUUAAAUAUUUAUAGGAUUUUUGCUUCAGUGUUUUAGAAUCAAUUUAAGGGACACCAGGAAUCAUGACGGGCCACUUUCAGGAAAAGUUGAGGAUUCUUUUUUUCCUGACUUUCCAGCUUAAGACAAAAUAUUUUGAGAUCAGAAAAUGUUGCUUAUCAUGUAGUGCUACAAAAGACAAAUGCUUCUGUCCUUUCAAAACAACUCAUUUGUGUGUUGUGAGAUGCAUGCUGGCACGUUAUCAGUAAAGUAAUGGGGCAAAAUUGUCCAGAUUGUGUCCCCUGAUAAACAAAGCAUGGACUCUGUCAUAGGAAAAUCAUUGCACAGCACCACUACAUGUCAAAAACCUCCAAAAGAACCUUUACGCCGCUCCACAGAUGUCAGCAGUUACAUACAUGUAAUCACAAGAAACUUGUCCUCCUGAGAUUUUGACUACUAAUGGUGUCAUAGAGCCAUAAUUUCAUUAGCGAGUUUCCAUUUAGUUGUAUUUUGAUGCUCUACUAGCACAUACAGGAGGAUACAUGCUGGUGAUGCAGCUCACAACCAUACUGUCUGCAGAGUUUGUACAGAAAAACUCCUAGAAAAGCAGCAUUUUGACAGCAAAGACGAUGACCAGACGAGAACAAUGCAGGUUUCAAAUAUAAGGGAAUGUUUGUGAAGAAAGAUAAGAAUAACCAUGUUUGGUAUACUUCAAGUAAACAUGAAAACAGCUUUUCAGAAAAAAAAUGAACAUUAAAUCCACUUACUGGAACUUUGUGCCACAUCUUGUUUUCAUUAACAGACGUAGCUUUGUUCAUGUGAAAAAAGGACGCCUCUGCAUCAGCGAACAGACUACAAAGACACCCACAUUAGGGUCCAAAAGUUUGAACAGACUUUGUCAUCCAUUUCUAGGAAUAAGAAAGUGUGUCCAAAUUGUAGGUAGGUAGUCAAAAAGUUGCAGAAUGACCACAGUUAGGUACAAAACAACACAAAAUGACCACAGAGAUGCAAAAAGGACCGGAAGGUGAUGAUAAAUGACCAAAUGAUGAAAAAAAAAGCAACUACGAAGACAUGCAAAAUGACACAAAAUGACUGGAUAAAGAUGAAAAAUGAUCACACAGAGACGCAAAACAAUGCAAAAUGACCACAUUAAGAGACAAACAGUAACGGGGGGCACUGCUCGACAAAAAUGGUGCAGCAAACUUUUGUUUCAAGUGCUAAAACCAUUUCCAUAUCCUCUGUAUUAGACAGAAAUCUCAAAAUCUGGGCAAAUAAAACCAAAACUAACUUGACUUAUACAGCAGGAAAUGAGUUAGGACGUAUUGAGGUUGUUGGUCUUGGAGUUUGGUUGAAACAACCGUUUAAAAGUAAAUUGGGAACUCACUGCUGUUAUUCAUCACACAGUCUGCUUACUGGAAGCUUCUGGCGACUCUCUGAUACAUCUUGUGCUCUUCAUUACCAGAUGAAGUUUGCUCCAUCCGAGAGUCUCAGUUACAAGACUAAAAACCAAAAAGAACAAACAAGAAAAGGAGCCAAUAACAUCACUGAAGUCAAACUGGGAAGCUCCUUUCACUGACUAAAUAUGAAAAUGACAAGCUGCCUGACCUGAAUGUGACUCAGAUGGAUUCUACAGCUGUCAGCUCUGUGCUCGUCUGUCCUCGCUAUGAAAGCAGAUGGAGAGCAGUUUUCCACUUCAUUUGAAUGAGUCUGUUUUUAGGUUUUUGGCAGCUUGUCUUGGUGCAGGCUGGUGCCGGCUGUGUGAACCCUCAGUGCAGCGAUUAACAAGGAGUUCCCGGUCAUUAGCAGGCAGAGAGCGUUGUUUGGGAGAUCCCUCAGCACAGAGGAGGCCUUGUUUCACCGAGGAGCUCCGGUUAAAAGCUGCCGCCAACAAUGCUGGUUGUUACGGAUGAAGAGUUUCCUGAACACUGCUGCCGUCAGCUGAUACUCAGCCGCACCAAGAGAGGGAGGAGUCCACUGUCAUGGGAGCAAGCUAAAUGCUAACGUCAGCAUGCAUCAACAACGUUUAGUAAGUAUAAUGUUUACCAUCUUCUUUAGCAUCCUAAUUUAAUAUGUUGGCAUACUAACAUUAGCAAAUCAGCACUACACACAAAGCAUCAACAUAGUUAUAGACAGUAUAUAAAAAAUGGACAUAACCUUUGGGUCUGAAAUUUGAAGACAACGUGACAGCCAGCAGGAGGCGACGUCUGAUUGUAUAAAAGCUUUUGAGAAAAGUCUCGUAAUUCUCACUUGAUCUGCUACCUCAAUUAACGUUUCCUUCAUGAGUUUAUGGUCUCAAUCUAUGGUUUUAAGUCUCCUUCAAUACAGCAUGCUGUUCCUUUUGUAAAUUGUGGUCCCAUUUAGAGGAAAAUAGAUGAUAAAGCAGGGUAUGUUGUAGGACACGACAAAGCUUGUGAUUGGCAGGUUGCUAAAUAUCAUAAUGCAUAAUGUCUUUGUGUUCUUCUUCAGAUCCAUUGUUCGCAAACACAAACAUGGUGACCGCCAAAUGCCUAAUUAGAGGCUUUAAACAGUAGCACACAAAUCAGUGGGUGAUCUGAUGUCACUUUGUCCAUCUUUUACAUACAGUCUACAGUCAUAAACCAAAUCAUUGGAUAAAUUCAAAUGCUGACCAGAUGACGACACACCAAAGUGAUUAUGGGUCAUCCUGAGGGGAGCAUGAAUGUUUGAACAAAAUUUACUGACAGUACAUUCAAAAGACAUUUUACUUCAGAAUCACAAAUGUGAGCCUCAUCAUGGCACUAAAUUUCAGAUGAUCAAGUAAACAGGAUUCAUCAUCUAGGAAUCAUGAAUAUCUGCAACAGUUUCAUGGUCACUGAUGUGAUGGAAAGACCAACUGACUGACUGAUCAAUAAAGUCAUGAGCUAAACACUAAAAACUCAACACAAAUAAUAAUUUUCAAACAUUUACUUGGAAAUAACAGAUCUGUACAGUUAAAACCCAAGGCUGAAAAAGAUCUCAAAUACCACAGUUUACGAAGGUUCAACUGUCCAGCUGCUUUAAUUUCUGCCUUCAAUUUUGGAUGAUUCUGAAGCUAAUGGCAGUAACUGAAUUUAAAAACAGUAAUAUAGACCAGAAGCUGUGGAGCUAAGAUGUGCCAUGUGAGUGGUUCUUUUCAAUCCAUAAUAAUGUACAUAUGAGAAUUUCAACUUCUGUUGCACAGAGGGCUUUUUUUUUUCAUAUUUCCUAGUGUGCACUACAAUUUUAUUCUUGAAGCUGCCAUCUAGUGAUGAUUAGAGGAACUGCAGUGCGUAAUGUCUUCCAUAGCUUAAAUACUGGGCCAUGUUUUGUGGAGUUUUGUCCAAACUUGGUCCACAUGGGCUUUAAAUACACACCCAAAAUACUGAACUAGAGCUUUCCCAUAGUAUGGAAAUAAAGUUUUUAUGAGGUGAGCUUUUCAGUCUUGUAGGAUUACAUCCGUGACAUCUGUUAAUUCUUAAAGUUCACGCGCAGUUUAUAAAACACGGUCUGGUUAAAAAUAAAAUUUUUCUGUCCUCUUGUGAGUAAAGUUAGACGCUGCAACAUAGACUCCAGAGCAGCCCCAGUGAAACCAGUAAAACCAGUGGAGUGGAUUGCCCCAGAAGUCCAGAGGCCGAGUUGUAGAUCUUGAUGCGUCCUUCAACAGAAGGAUAAACUUUCUUUCUUUGUAUGAUGUACUUUGACACAACUGAAAUGUCCAAAUCCCCUGAAAGGAAAAGAAAAAAAGAGUGAAAAGAGGCAAAUGGUCCCUUUACAAAUUAAUCAGCAUCUCAAGCAACUAAACUGAUUCAGUCCUGAGGUUAUUUCCAGAAGUCUCACCGCUGUUGUGUUUGAGGGUCUCGUUUUUGAUCAUGGAGAAUCCGUCUCCACCCUUCACCAUGUAGGAUGGCAGCACCACUGUGUAGACCGUCUCAUCCUCGACCGGUUCGUAGUGAGGAACCCGACAAUAUGUGCAGAGGAUGCUGAGGCUUCGGAUGCGAUUCCCCGCAGGUUUGGAGAGGUCAAACUCUACAUGAAAACCUGUAGGACAAUAAGGAAACAACGUCAGUCUGAAUCAGGAAACUACCACGUGAGAGAGUCCAGCCUCUCACGUGGUAGCACACCCCCAACGCCCCCCAACGGCUGUUUUUAAAAAACAGCCGUUGGGGGCAUGGUGGGCGGGACUUACGGUUGUGACGUGGCAGCUUCUGAUUGGGACCUGUCAAAAUUUGACGAAAGGUGGUUUAUAGUACUCUCUCAUGUGUUCCUAAAAGCUUCUGUAGAAAGCAGCUGGACUUCUCUUUCUGGUUCUUGGAGACAUUUUACCUCCAAAUCCAAGAGGCUUCUUCAAUUCUAACUAAAAACUGAGUAAACUUUCUGCUGUAGCACUGAGGCUAACCAUGACCUAGAUGAUGAGUCUUUGGUCAGGUAUGAAGUUCUUGCACAGUCUUGUGAUUGGAUGAGAUUUAACAUUCGAGAAUUUGGCCGUUUUUGUUUUGCCUCCAGUUGUGUUAGCAGCUGUGUGUAACCACAGGCACAGUGGUGCUUUGAGCUAAGUGCAAACACUAGUAUGCUAGCAUGUGGUCAAUGGUGAUGUUCAGCAGGUAAAACGUUCACAACUUAGUUUCAUGUGUUAACAUGCUAACAAUCCUAAUUAGCAGUAAAUAAAGUAUAUCUGAGGCUGAUGAGAACUUCUGCAGGUAUUUGAUCAGCUAACAGACUGCUAAACCAAGCGCAGAACUUCCCUGCCUUAGCUUUUCAGGGCUGGAUUCAAACAAUUAGAAGGAUGUAAUCUGUCAGCAAUACAUAACUAUCAAGCCGUACAAUGCUGAUGAUUCAUCAUUUGCUGUUUUAAAAGGUUUGAGGAUGGUUUUGCAUGUCGCGCAGACUAAAAUGCUCUUUUAGAUUAUUACAGUUUUGUCCGUUUCCUGCUUUUGUUGAUCCAAAGGCACAGAUUUGCUCCUAAAUAUUGUUUACACCUGGCUGACUCUGUAUACACAAAGGUAUUGAGCUAAUUCAAACCUGAUUAUGGUUCGAGAGGAAAAGGGGACAGUAAAGUGUUCUCUGGAGGCAUGUCUGUGCUAAAUUUUAAGGCAAUAUAUUUAAUAGUUGCUACAUUUCACCCACAAAUGCCAACUUCAAGGCGAUACAAGAGGAAAAGUCAGAGGCCUACUGGUGAGUAGGAUCCUUUGGGCACCAUUAAUGUCUGCACUAACUCUGUUUAUAGUUGCUGAACAAUUUCAAUAUGAACCAAAGUGGUGGAGCGACCAGCAAACCAUCCAGAUUCUUUUAGUUUUGUAUUAUCGUCAAGGCAAAAUAUAUAUACAUAGGUAAAAAUGCAGAUACCAGACACUUGUAGGAAUUCUCCAGUGCUCUUCCCAUAUCGCCUGACUGAGUGCUCGAAAGCUUUCCUCAGUGUGGAGCCUUUCAGUUGCACCAGGUCAAAGGUUCCUCCGAAAGGUAAGACAGAGAUCAGGUCCUCCAUAGUGAUCGAACCUACCGACGACAUAUCAGCAAUGUUUUCUAAAGCUCCUCUCACACAACAGUUCAUCACAAACUGCUUUGCCAUAAACAAUGCAAUGCAAUACUGGAAAAUCCUGCUCUGUUUUUAUUUGGCUUCACCGUUCCUGCUGGUUUCAUCGAUAGAUGUCCGGAUGCCACCUCCGUUGAAGAGGCAGGCGCUGACAUGGUUCCACUCGAGAUCAUCGGGGAACCUAAUGUAGUUGGCGACCUGAGGAAUGGAAACAGGAAGCAGAUUCCUUCAGUCAAACAUGUUAGGUCUUGUGCUACCAAGUCCUUCUUGCUAUUUUUAGAUCUAUGUGCUGCCAACCCUGCCUGAAGAUCUGCAGCAGCAGUAAAUGAUCUGUCUAAUUUUAAUUGAUGAGAAGAACAAUCCAUCCAUACAUCCUUCCAUUCAUUUUCUUCCGGUUAUCCAGGGCCAGGUCGCUGAGGCUGCACACGAAGCAUUUCAUUCCAGAUGUCCCUGCCCCUGCUUUGUAGCUCUUCCUGGGGGAAUCUGAGGCGUUCCCAGGCCACAUACACAAUCCCUCCAGCGAGUUCUGGGUCUACCUAAGUGUCUCCUCCCUGGCAGACGUGUUCAGACAACCUCCAAAGGAAGUCUCCCUGGAGGCAUCCGAAUAAGAUGUCCAAACCACCUCAACUGGCUCCUUUCAAUGCGAAGAAGCAGCAGCUCUACUCCAAGCUCCCCCUGGAUGUCCAAGCUUCUCACCCUAUCUCUAAGGCUGAGCCCAGCCACCCUACGGAGGAAGCUCAUUUCGGCCGCUUGUACCCGCAGUCUCAUUCUUUCGGUCUCACAUCGCCAGACCUAUCUCCACAGCACUGCAUUGGAUCUAGGGAAUGAUCUGGUUGCACCUCAUCACUGUGCUACGGUGGUAAAAUGCUCUGGCUCGUUCUUUAAACAAAUCACAUUCAUCUUGUGAAGCGCUAAGUCCAGGAUACAGUGGUGGGGUGCCCCUGCAAAAUGGUGUGAGGGAGAAUUGUUUUGGUGGAACAUGCUUGGAAAAUCUUACUGCACACUUCAGCAUCUUUAUCAAAACUUGCCAUUUUCAGCACAUAGGUGGCUGCUUGGAGGUUAUUGUUUCCAAUAAUGAAGUGGAUUUUUAAAGCAGUGACAUGCAGAUAGUGGAAAAGGAGGUGAUUGCCUGAAUAUGCAGACAAUUACAGGUGUAGAGUCACAGUCUACAUCCGGUGAGUCGUACUACACUUUGAUGGGAGUGUGUGAGCAAAAACUCACCACACCAGCCGGAGGUCAGUUUGAAAUUUCUUCACGAGGCUACAGACCUUGAGACCUUCCAAUUAAAGACUUACCAUGGCGUCACAGAUGAGGUUUCCCAGGUUGCAUUCUCUAAACCGGCACUCUUCAGUUGUUCCGUUCAUGAAGACCAGAGUCUUUCCCACCACCUGAGCUGAAUAGUUGGCCAGACUCUUCUUCCACUCCUCCACAUCAGAAAGGACAUCUGGAUCUGUGAGAGAUAUUAUUCAGGUUUAAGAGGAGUCAAAAUAACAGGUGAUGAUGAUUUAUGUAAAUAAAUGCCUGUUUUUGACACUGUUUUGACACUAUUACUUCAGCUAAGAACUUACCUAAAAUGCACUAAUGUGUAAAUGUCAAAAGAAAAAAUCCACUUUUUUAACCCUUAUAUGCAUACUUUAUGUGAGCCUAGGACUAUAUUUUACCCUGUCAGUUAAUGCUGAGGCUGCUGAUGAUCUGAAGGAAUUCGUUUUUGGUUACAUUUAUGAAUCAGAUCAUUUAAAAGCAGAACCAGAGGAUGAAAUGAUGAUAAUAGCUCAGACAAAAUGAGCCGUGAAUUGGGAUUAUAGCAUGGAUAUGUCCAACAGUGGUGGAAAAAACUUUUCGGACACCCCAUAUAUUUGUGAAAUAUUGCAUUAAGAAUCACUCUUUGGCCUUCAAGUGCAAUUUCUUUAAGUACAAUCACAGCCAUAAUACUAAAAAAAUCCUAAAUAAGCCAUUAAAAACUUUAAAUUGAUUAGUUCCAUAAAAAUAACAAAUUUUGAGUAUUGGGUCAUUUUGGUAGAAUUUAGUUUUGUUAGUUUUUCUUGUGAACAAUAAACAAAAAAAUAUAUCAUUUGUAUUUGUUUGUGUAUGCCUAAUAUAGCCACACCUUUCGAAACACAAAAAAGAUUUUUCCACAAAUACUUCAUGAUAAUAUUUGAGAUUGUGUAAAAUUUCAAGGGUGUCUGAAAACUUUUUUCCACCACUGUAUUAGUAUCAUAUACAAUAAAACCACAAUAUAUUUUUGUGUUUGUUACUGUUGAUACUAAGUUCUGGGAAAAAAGUGCUGGUUUGACCUCAUGUACCUCAAAGGUUACCAAAUGGGUGGAGUCAUCAGUGUUAGAAACUUCUUGUCAGAUAAGAACAUUUCAGACACAAAGGCAGGAAAAAAAACAGAUCAAAAACUACGAUUAGCUUCCCAGCAGUAACAAAGUCGUAACUCAAGAAUAAUUACAGUGAGAAAAAACAAUAGGAGCAAAUGAUGCACAGUUUGCUGUCUUUACCCUGUGGGAUGCUGCUGUCCAGCAGGAUGGGGUUUCCUGUCGACCUCACUACGUUCCCUGCAUCGUCAAAGGUCACCUUCAGAUGACCCAGAUAUUUUCCAAAGGCAUAGGCCUGCACAACAGGAACCUGCCGCCCGUCCUCUGAUUUCACCAUGAAGGGAUAAGGACCGGCUGGAACCUCAAAAGAAGGAGGUGUUCCUGGAAAAUUAAAGGGUGGAAAAAAUAAGUAAAAUGGAGAAUUACAGUCAGGGGAAGCUUCAAAAACAGCUAACUGUUACUGUACUGACAUGUAGUUUGUAACCGCAGUUACUGCAACUUUAUGCGUUUAUUCAGUUGCUAAUAUGCCAAACAUGCUCAUCACAGUCUCCCACAGCUCAAACGGACAUCUUUAAAUGUUUUUAAUUUGUCUGACCAACAGUCUGAAACUUAAGUCUUUCAGUUUACAGUGACACAAAUCGGAGAAAAGCAAAAAAUCCUCACUUUUUAGAUGAUGGAACCCAAAGACAUUUGGUGUUUUGUUAAGCAGCAACCUUCCAUUCUGACAAAACAAGUCACCACAGAAGGGGUCAUAAAGUUAAGUGGAAACACUUGGUUUUGUUUAUUUCAGUCACGUUUUCUGAGAAUUUUAUCUGAAAAUGUAUCACUUUGAGUUUCCCUUAUGUGAUGUAAUUUCGGAUGAAACUCAACGUCUCAUACACAUUGUCUCAAUUAAAGUUUAUUGUCUUCUGUCACUGACUGCGCAACAUGACUAAACAUUUUCUUUCUUUUCAUCUCAUGCAGUAAACUUUGAAUUUCCCCAAGGGAAUGAAUAAAUUAUCUAUCUAUCUAUCUAUCUAUCUAUCUAUCUAUCUAUCUAUCUAUCUAUCUAUCUAUCUAUCUAUCCAUCCAUCCAUCCAUCCAUCCAUCCAUCCAUCCAUCCAUCCAUCCAUCCAUCCAUCCAUCCAUCCAUCCAUCCAUCCAUCCAUCCAUCCAUCCAUCCAUGUUGUUUGGUUACUAAUAUUUAAGGCGCCAUCUGCUUUGUAGCUUUUCUGGUUUUAGGAGCAGAUUUGUUAGUUUAGCUGUUGUCAACUGGUUACAGUGUGAACACUAAUUUAUUCAUGAAAAAAAAAAAACAAGCUUCUGCUUUCCCUCUAUUUUUACUACUGUCACGGCAACAACACAUCACUGAAGCACUGGUUGCUUCACAACUGCAACUGUGACUCAGCAAAUCUCAAAGACAAAUUUGAUUCUGACUAACUCUGCAAUAAUUCACCUCAAAUUUGGUGAGUAAUCUGAGGAACUUAAAAAGAAAAUGGAAUUACGUACUGGCAGAGCCUUUUGAUGUUGUUGGCUUUGUUGCAUAGCAUUGUGCAAUGAGUGUAUCAGGACAUUAUCAAAUGUUUUAACACAGGAAAAGAAAAAGAAAUGUUGUGGUGAUGAAUUAGAGGCAAAAAUGUGACAAAUAAUGUGACCAUUGUCCAAUGACUGGACAUAUUUUCUUCAUAAGCUGCUCAUUGCUAGUUCCAUCACAGAUCCUUAAAUUAGGAUCUAAUCUGGUGACAUUUCUGAUAAUGAUGUUUCCAUUAAGAAAUAACAUUUUCAAGUGUAUUGACUGAUCUGGCCUAUACUACCAGACACUCCAAACAUGAGUCGAGUGUAUGCAUACCUGUGGACUGAUGGUUUUCUGCAGUUGGUGGGUUUAAAUGGCACAGUAAAAACAUUUAACUUAGGAGAGCUUGAAUGCAUCACUGUCAGCUUUCGAGGACACUCUUCCUCUCCAAAGUCCAAACAGUUACUAAGUGCUGUUCACUCUGAGUGGAGCUUCAUCCUAUUUCUACAGUUACACGCUGCAGAAAAACAUCUCUCUGUGGCCUGAGGUCCAAACCGGCGGCUCAGUUCCUCCGUCUGACCACUGCUGUUUAUAUAUAACACUACAGAGUUAUUUAUGGAGACCAGACUCAUGUCGACAGCAUGUUUACUCUUGAAUGAGCCACGAGUAUGAAGACUCAAAGUUUCCUUUCGUCCAGGAGCAAAGACAAAGCUCACGGACGGUGAAAUGCAAAAUUGUUCUGUCCAUAUAAAAGCAGACACACAAUAAACCGGACUGAAAGUUUACUGCCACACCAGCUGGCACAGCAGUGAGGCUCAUUAACAAAAUGAAAAGUUGGAUGAAUCCACUGUUCUUACCCUUUAAAUGUUAGUGGGGCAAAACCAGCCUGAACUGAAUCACAACUACAAGACUGACAGGAGCAGAAAUUCUAAGUUGCAGAUGUUGGGGAUUUCUCUCAACUGUGAUAUCUUUCACUUGGCAAAAAGUCCACAAACUGGUGAAAAUGGUUGUGGAACAAUCUCACAUUUGAGCAUCUAACAUUUACAUUUUCCUACUAUUCAGUCAGUUUUGUUUUGUUUUUCUCUCUCUUUUCUCUCCAGGUGUAAAAUGUGAAGCCGACGGGGAAGAUACUUAAAUCUGCAUUUGUUCUGACAACCGGCAGGGUUGGUUGCAAAAAGAAGUCCGAUUAUAAAGGAGCCAAAAAAGAAAAUGAUCCUACUUCAGAAUGAUUUCAAGAUCUUUAUCACAAUCAGAGUUAUACAUAGUAUAAUGCACAGUGAAAUGCAUUCUCACUUGAUUUGUUGCCUCAGAAAAUUAAUUUACUUCAUUAGUUUAUCAUCUUAAAAUCCACCUUCAAGGCUCCUUCAAUACAACAUGAUGUUAUCGUGGUAAAUUAUGGUGGUAUUUUGAGGAAAAUAAAUGAUAAAAUAGAGCAUGUUUUAGGGUGUGUGUGUACCAUAUGAUGUCUUCCAGUGCUCAGACAGAUCCAUCGCUCACUCAUUACAUCCGGUUCCAGAAGACCAAGAUGGCAACAGCCAAAUUCUAAACUCAAGGGGGCUGUGGUGGCUAUGCUCAUUUUAUACAUACAGCCUGAAUUUCCCUAUACGGUCUCAGCAUUUUGUUCACAGGAUUGUACAUCAUUUCAUUUAAUGUAGAUUUUUUUGAGAGAAGAAGAGAGAAACAACGCUGCGUGUGAGUUCACUAGCUUGUCGACUUUAACUCAAAAUAAUUUUUAUUUUUAGAGCAUUUUUGGUAGUUUUGUUCAAAUUUACAAAUAUGUUAUUUUCCUAGUAAGCACAAUUCAGUUAUAUUUAUAUAGCACAAAUUCACAACAUAUGCCAUCUCAUAGCACUAAACAUAGUAAAGGGAAGACUUUAUGAAUCUUGAACCAAGAGCCCAACAAUCUAAAGUUUCCUUUGUAUUCCUCAGGAGCAAGCAGUCUGCGACGGUGGGAAGGAGGGAAAUAAAAACAACCCUCUAACAGGGAGGAAAAUAAAUCUUGGACAGAACCUGGCUCAGGGAAAGGGGUCAUCUGCCUUGACUGGUUGGGGUGAGGUAGGUGGGGGAGGAGAUAGAGAAAUAAGUUCUACAGUCUUCUGAUUCACUAGUAUUCAGGAGUCUUCUGGGGUUGCUGUCUGACCCAACAUUAACCUUAACCAUGAGCCAUCAGUGCAUCACUAACAAGUCACCUCGAUGUAAUAUCAGAAAACACAAACUGGUUGCAUAAAUGAAUGUUGUAACAGAUGUGACAUGAACAGCUGUAUCCCUACCUGUGUAGAGGAAAGUGUUGGUGUGUCCUCCGAUGACCACGUCGACUCCACGGACCUUCUUUGCGAUCUCCUGAUCCACAGUGAAGCCGGAGUGUCCCAAAGCAAUGAUCUUAUUGAUGCCCAGCGUCUGGAGUUUGUUCACCUGCAGCUGCAGGGAGCUCACCUCGUCCUCGAACUCCAGAUGUGGUCCUGUACAGAACCAUUAACAGGUGAGGAAACUCAAAAAUGCCUUCAGACUUGCACAAAUGUCCACUUUAACACUGAAAGAGAGGCCUGACCUUAAAUAAAGAGAUUUUUAAAAUAUGAUGAAACAAAUGUUGCAAAUGACAGAGUAACUGAAGGGCAGCCUUACUUUGAAAACACUUCCUGACUGAUUAUGGAACCACAGGAACUAGAUUCAUUUGCUCAAAAUCGUAAAAGACUCGCACAGAAAAGACAAAUUAAUCUACAACCUGUUUGAUAUAUAUUUCUGCUUCAAAAUUUACCUAACAAGCAAGUAUAUCUUUAAAAAUUACAUAGUAAAUUUUCAUUUUUGUUGUUCACUUGCUUUAAUUUUCUUGUAACAUGACUGCAUGAGUUCUUCCACCAGUUGUCAAGGAACCACCUUUCUGUCACCUCUGACUCGACCUGCAGAAAUGAUGAAUUUCAUAUCAGUCUGCUCAGUUACUGACAAGCUGACAAAAUGUGGUCAAUGAGAGUCACAAAUAUUUGACACUUUUAAACGUUGUGCAGGCAAAAACAUAAGCAGGAGGAUCGAAUCACUGACUGUACUGCAUUUUAUAUUGUUGUAUAUGACAACUUGAGAUGUGCUCCAUCACCUUUCUGCUUUAUGGUGAAUCACUUUAGAAACAUAGAAGCAUUUUUCAAGCAUCAGUAUUGUUUUAUAGUUUGUGGGUAUGACGACGUAUAUACAGUACCGUUCAAAAGUUUGGGGUCACUUAGAAAUGUCCUUAUUUUUGAAAGAAAAACUUUUUUUUUUCAAUGAAGAUAACACUAAAUUAAUCAGAAAUCCUUGUUAAUGUGGUAAAUGACUGUUCUAGCUGGAAACAGCUGAUUUUUAAUGGAAUAUCUCCAUAGAGGUACAGAGGAACAUUUCCAGCAACCAUCACUCCUGUGUUCUAAUGCUACAUUGUGUUAGCUAAUGGUGUUGAAAGGCUAAUUGGUGACUAGAAAACCCUUGUGCAGUUAUGUUAGCGCAAUAAGUUUUCAUGGAAUACAUGAAAUUGUCUGGGUGACCCCAAACUUUUGAACAGUAGUGCAGAUGUACAUGUGUUAGUUUCCAAGCCUGGCAGGCAACGAGGAUGGAAAAAGUGCUUUUAAAUUAUUAUUUCAAAUGUUAAAGUUAGUUACCGGUGUUCAUUAAAUCCUUGUACAAACAUAAGAUAGUACUGCUUACAUUCUACAAUGUUAAAGAAGUCACAAAAUCGUUUUUUUUUCCUAUUGUCGACUAAUCCAAAAUGUGCUGUAUGUCCUACUAACAGAUAUGUUAGAGCCUGAUACAUCUUAUUCCUAUGUGCUACAGUUGGUACCUAUUAAAAACACAUCAGUGAG